CUUGAAUACAUUAGCCAAACAAGUCUGAUAAAUUUGUUUAUCCCAAGACAAUCAUUAGAAAAUUACCUGCAAAAGUAAUUCUCAAUAGAGCAGUUUAUGAAUGGAAAGCCAUAUGGCUGAUAAAAACAGAAAUAAGCAAUGAAAUCUUUUGCGGGAUAUCACGAGUUAGGAAAGUUUUUCCUCUUUAAGCUUGAUCAUUUUGUACUAAAUCCCAAAAGCUCAGUAGCCUGAAGGCCAUUUUCCGUGAGCAGAAAAACCUUUCUCUAGUCGCUACUUGUCCCUCCAACCAAUUCUGCACACCUACUGUGGGCUAGCUCUGGUAUCCACUGGUGAACAUGAGCUGUCUCUGCCUCCCCGAUCCUGCAGUCCAAUGGGAGGAGACAGAUGUGUUAAUAGAUAAUUACAGCACACCACAAGGGUGGAACUAGAGAGCUCUGGGAGCAACUGACAGGAAUGGAUAACUAUUUUUCAGAACCAACAAAACCUUACUGUAGUGACAUUCAGACCAGGCCAAAAAAAAGAUGGAUGAGCAGGGCUUUUCCAAGAGAGAGAAUAUUCUAGGUAAAGAGAGGACCAUCAGAGAAGCACAUGGUUGACUCCUGGGUCGAAAAGAGCCUGGCACUGCAGGAUAUUGGCCACAUCUUAUUCCAGAAAAGGAAAUCACAAGUGUGGGCUGGGGCCAGGAUGAGGAACCACAGGGUGGCAUAAGCAUGGUCGGGUCUCGCGAAGAUGGAGAUGAUGAGGAUGGACAGGAGAAACCAAUUCAGAAGUUCUCUCUGAGGCUGAUCAUGAGAAUAAGGCUGUCUGUGUGCCCUCGGCAAUGCCCUGGCUCAGGAAAGAGAAGAUAAUGAACACUCAUCAGAUCUGGACACAGUCACCCUUCCACCGCCCAGGGGUCAGUUCAGUGAGCAAGAGACAGGGCUGGGUCCUCACAUGUGUGGGAGAUGUAAAAUGAGAACAGGUCCUGAGUCGCACGGAACAUGCUGAAUCAGCCCGCUGCAGAAAGGCAGGUCUGUGCACGCCCUACCACGGUCCUGAGUCACGCGGAAGACGCCGAAUCACCCCACUGCAGACAGGCAGGUCUGCCCGCACCCUACCGAGGUCCCCAGUUGCGCAGAACACAAGCCGAAUGAGCCUGCUGCAGACAGGCAGGUCUGUGCACGCCCUACCGAGGUCCUGAGUCGCGCGGAAGACACCAAAUCACCCCGCUGCAGAAAGGCAGCCACCUGAUUCCACACUACAAAGACGCAGAGGACACCAGACCACCAGACCAAGGUGCCUGUAACCAGCAAUGGAGUUUAGUGCUCUUCCAAAGGCAUCAACAGCCUGAGCACACUUCCUGUCUGUGGGCCCUCUCAUGUCACCCAUCGUCCCCGUUAGUGUGAUUGGCACUGCCUGAUGAUCACAUCUGCGUCACACAUCCUGUAGACCAUGUCCACAGUGGAAGCCGGGGCCCAUUUGACAGCAAGAGUCUACGCAGUCAUGAAGAUCUCCUUUGGUCCUAAUUAAAUGUGUCCUCUCUGAAAUAUGUGCCUGACAUUGAAAGUCUAGAGAUCAUGCUUUUCAACAAAGAAGUUGAAUUUCUCUGUCUUCUAUCCACUCCCUAUCAAUUACACAAUUUCCCGAGUUAUACAUCUUUUUCUUCUUUCCCCAAAUGUCCUUUUUGUAAUUUGUAGUGAUUAGUGAGGCCUACAUUUUAAAUUAACCCUCAUUUUGAUCUCUAAACAAGAUCAUGCUGUUUUUUUUGCAUGAAUCCUCAUCAGUCCAAGGACUC
ensembl:lncRNA